AUUGAACGCUGGCGGCAGGCCUAACACAUGCAAGUAGAGCGGAGCGGCGGACGGGUGAGUAAUGCCUAGGAAUCUGCCUGGUAGUGGGGGAUAACGUCCGGAAACGGGCGCUAAUACCGCAUCCUAUCAGAUGAGCCUAGGUCGGAUUAGCUAGUUGUGGGGGUAAAGGCCUACAAAGGCGACGAUCCGUAACUGGUCUGAGAGGAUGAUCAGUCAAACGGGAACUGAGACACGGCCCAGACUCCUACGGGAGGCAGCAGUGGGGAAUAUGGGACAAGGGGCGAAAUCUGGAUCCAGACAGGCCGCGUGUGGGAAGAAGGUCUUCGGAUUGUAAAGCCCGUUAAGUUGGGAGGCGUUACCAACAGAAUAAGCACCGGCUAACUACGUGCCAGCCGCCGCGGUAAUUC
rnacentral:rRNA from 1 species